AGGGCGCAUGGUGGAUGCCUUGGCACUAGGAGCCGAUGAAGGACGUGACUAACUGCGAUAAGCUUCGGGGAGUUGUAAGUAAACUGUGAUCCGGAGAUUUCCGAAUGGGGAAACCCAGCAGGAGUAAAGACCUGUUAUCACUGAGUGAAUACAUAGCUCAGUUGAAGGUAGACGUGGGGAACUGAAACAUCUAAGUACCCAUAGGAAGAGAAAGAAAAUUCGAUUCCCUGAGUAGCGGCGAGCGAAAAGGGAACAGCCCAAACCAGAGAGCUUGCUCUCUGGGGUUGUAGGACUGGACAUUUGAGUUACCAAGAAACGAAGUAGUUGAAUGAUUUGGGAAGAUCAGCCAGAGAAGGUGAUAGCCCUGUAAGCGAAACUUCGUUUCCUCAGCCCAGUAUCCUGAGUACGGCGGAACACGUGAAACUCCGUCGGAAUCCGGGAGGACCAUCUCCCAAGGCUAAAUACUCCCUAGUGACCGAUAGUGAACCAGUACCGUGAGGGAAAGGUGAAAAGCACCCCGGGAGGGGAGUGAAAUAGUUCCUGAAACCAUGUGCCUACAAGUAGUCAGAGCCCGUUAAUGGGUGAUGGCGUGCCUUUUGUAGAAUGAACCGGCGAGUUACGUUAGCGUGCGAGGUUAAGGCGCAAAGGCCGGAGCCGUAGCGAAAGCGAGUCUGAAUAGGGCGAAUGAGUACGUUGACGUAGACCCGAAACCAGGUGACCUACCCAUGUCCAGGUUGAAGGUGCGGUAAGACGCACUGGAGGACCGAACCCGUGUAUGUUGAAAAAUGCUGGGAUGAGGUGUGGGUAGAGGUGAAAUUCCAAACGAACUUGGAGAUAGCUGGUUCUCUCCGAAAUAGCUUUAGGGCUAGCCUCGGAGUUAAGGAUCGUGGAGGUAGAGCACUGUUUGGACUAGGGGCCCGUCUUGGGUUACUGAAUUCAGAUAAACUCCGAAUGCCACAGAUCUAUAUCCGGGAGUCAGACUGCGAGUGAUAAGAUCCGUAGUCGAAAGGGAAACAGCCCAGACCACCGAUUAAGGUCCCUAAAUAUGUGUUAAGUGGAAAAGGAUGUGGAAUUGCACAGACAACUAGGAUGUUGGCUUAGAAGCAGCCACCAUUUAAAGAGUGCGUAAUAGCUCACUAGUCGAGUGAUCCUGCGCCGAAAAUGUAACGGGGCUAAACACAUUACCGAAAUCGUGGAUGCAACUAUGUUGCAUGGUAGGAGAGCGUUCUAAGGGCGAUGAAGCUAGACCGUAAGGACUGGUGGAGCGCUUAGAAGUGAGAAUGCCGGUAUGAGUAGCGAAAGAUCAGUGAGAAUCUGGUCCACCGUAUGACUAAGGUUUCCUGGGGAAGGCUCGUCCUCCCAGGGUUAGUCGGGACCUAAGCCGAGGCCGAGAGGCGUAGGCGAUGGAUAACAGGUUGAGAUUCCUGUACUGGUUUGAUUUGUUUGAACGAUGGAGGGACGCAGGAGGCUAGAGAUGCGUGCUGUUGGAUAUGCACGUCCAAGCAACAAGUCUGAUGAUGAGUCAAAUGCUUAUCGUCUUAAGGACAAGUUGUGACGGGGAGCGAAAUUAAAGUAGCGAAGUGAUCGAUGUCACACUGCCGAGAAAAGCUUCUAGUUAGGAUCAGACCACCCGUACCGCAAACCGACACAGGUAGUCGAGGCGAGUAGCCUAAGGUGAGCGAGAGAACUCUCGUUAAGGAACUCGGCAAAAUGACCCCGUAACUUCGGGAGAAGGGGUGCUGCACAAUGUGCAGCCGCAGUGAAUAGGCCCAGGCGACUGUUUAUCAAAAACACAGGUUUCUGCAAAAUCGUAAGAUGAAGUAUAGGGGCUGACGCCUGCCCGGUGCUGGAAGGUUAAGAGGAUGGGUUAGCGUAAGCGAAGCUCAGAAUUGAAGCCCCAGUAAACGGCGGCCGUAACUAUAACGGUCCUAAGGUAGCGAAAUUCCUUGUCGGGUAAGUUCCGACCCGCACGAAAGGCGUAACGAUCUGGGCACUGUCUCAACGAGAGACUCGGUGAAAUUAUAAUACCCGUGAAGAUGCGGGUUACCCGCGACAGGACGGAAAGACCCCAUGGAGCUUUACUGUAGCUUGAUAUUGGGUGUUUGUACAACUUGUACAGGAUAGGUAGGAGCCGUAGAAGUCGGAACGCUAGUUUCGAUCGAGGCGCUGGUGGGAUACUACCCUCGUUGUAUGAACACUCUAACCCUCGUCGCUUAUCGCGGCGGGAGACAGUGUCAGGUGGGCAGUUUGACUGGGGCGGUCGCCUCCUAAAAGGUAACGGAGGCGCCCAAAGGUUCCCUCAGAAUGGUUGGAAAUCAUUCGCAGAGUGUAAAGGCAUAAGGGAGCUUGACUGCGAGACCUACAAGUCGAGCAGGGACGAAAGUCGGGCUUAGUGAUCCGGUGGUUCCGCAUGGAAGGGCCAUCGCUCAACGGAUAAAAGCUACCCUGGGGAUAACAGGCUUAUCUCCCCCAAGAGUCCACAUCGACGGGGAGGUUUGGCACCUCGAUGUCGGCUCAUCGCAUCCUGGGGCUG
rnacentral:rRNA from 1 species